GACGAACGCUGGCGGCGUGCCUAAUACAUGCAAGUAGAACGCAGUGGCGAACGGGUGAGUAACGCGUAGGUAACUACCUCAUAGCGGGGGAUAACUAUUGGAAACGAUAGCUAAUACCGCAUACUGUGAGAUGGACCUGCGUUGUAUUAGCUAGUUGGGAAGGUAACGGCUCACCAAGGCAACGAUACAUAGCCGACCUGGGAGGGUGAUCGGCCAAACUGGAACUGAGACACGGCCCGGACUCCUACGGGGGGAAGCAGAAGGGAAUCUUCGGCAAUGGCCGAAAGCCUGACGAAGCAACGCCGCGUAAGUGAGGAAGGUUUUCGGACCGUAAACCUCUGUGGUAAGGGAAGCGGUACCUAAACAGAAAGGGACGGCUAACUACGUGCCAGCCGCCGCGGUAAUAC
rnacentral:rRNA from 1 species